AUUGAACGCUGGCGGCAUGCCUUACACAUGCAAGUCGAACGGCAGCGCGGGGCAACCUGGCGGCGAGUGGCGAACGGGUGAGUAAUAUAUCGGAACGUGCCCUGGAGUGGGGGAUAACGUAGCGAAAGUUACGCUAAUACCGCAUACGAUCCAAGGAUGAAAGCAGGGGACCUUCGGGCCUUGUGCUCCUGGAGCGGCCGAUAUCUGAUUAGCUAGUUGGUGGGGUAAAAGCCUACCAAGGCGACGAUCAGUAGCUGGUCUGAGAGGACGACCAGCCACACUGGAACUGAGACACGGUCCAGACUCCUACGGGAGGCAGCAGUGGGGAAUUUUGGACAAUGGGGGCAACCCUGAUCCAGCAAUGCCGCGUGUGUGAAGAAGGCCUUCGGGUUGUAAAGACACUUUUGUCAGGAACGAAACGGUUAGAGGUUAAU
rnacentral:rRNA from 1 species